rnacentral:lncRNA from 1 species
GAGUGGCCUCUGUGGCCAGGGAGCCGCAGGCAAGGGACUAAGGGGAGGGGGGCUCAGUGCCAGCUGCUUAAAAAUGCCCCUGUGGCAGCGAGGGGCACCAGAGGCUGGGUCUAAUUAGUUGAGAAGCAGUGACACCCCCAACCACUCCCCAAACAGGCUGGCUCCCGUCUCCAGGCCCCAAGGAGCCACACCUGGACCAGACCCCAGGAAAGGCAAGGGCGCUAGCUGGUGGGAGCCACCCCGCCAUGCUGAUGUCAGAGAAGCAAGAACUCUGGAGAAGCAGCCUCCUGGGACCAGAGGAGGGCCAGCAGCAGGCAGCCCGGAGACAGAACUCUCACCCACGCCUCUCCAAGCCUCCCAACAGAAGACAGAGGUCCCCCACAGCCAGAGACAUUUCCUGAAGACAUGGGGAACACAGAGGCAGAAACAGCCCAUCCACCCAGGAGCUGUCCCCCACACUGCCGGGAGCCGGCACCCAGAGCCGCCAGGUAAAACUGAGGCCACCUGGUUCAACAUCACCUUUCACAGAAGGGGAAGCAGCCACAGAAAGAAGGGCCUCGUUAAGAAGUGGAACCUGGGACCCCCAAGCGGUGUCUCUCAUCCUGACUGGGGAUCCAGAGUAGGAGGGAGCCUUUGGUGGGGUUGGAGUCCCGCCACAGGCCACCAGAGCGGAGCAGCGCAGCGCCCUGUCUCCCAGCCUGAGGUGCAGUGCUGCAUCUCUGGUCAGUUGGGAGUCUGAGAUGAAGCACUGUAGCUCAGGAAGAGAGAAGUUGUUCUGCAGCCAUCAGCCUGGAAGUGUUGCCCCCCAAUGGGGCCUCGGCUGGCUCACAGGAUGAGGGUUCAAGAAGAAGGCUGUCCCUGGAGGUAAGAGGGCUUAUGAACCAUGUUCCAAACCUUUGCGUUGCUUUUCUUUCCAUCGUGUCUAUUUCAUAACAUCCCUGUGAGGCUGGAUGUGGGAACUUCAGCACUGCCGUACUCUUGGGAAAUUUGUCCAAGGCCACCCGGCUGAGCAGCGGUUGAACCAGGACACCAUCAGGCAUGCGUUUCUUGUCUCCACCACACCCUCAACCCACUUCCCAACGCGCCUUGCGACAGGGGCUGCGGUAUUGCAUCCACAUGACUGAUAAACUAGUAAACACACAUGAAUUCAUUUUAAAAGUGUAUUCAAUCAGUUAGGUAAACUAAAAACCUUAAGUCUUCGUUCGAUUUGGAAUGCAGCCAGAGAACAAAUGGAAAAUUUUUCAAGGUAGAGAAGAUGAAAACUCAGAACGCCCUCUUGUGGCAUCUCUACCCACCCUAGGAACACUAUGGCUCUUCCCCUACACAUGGUGAUUGCUAACCUUGCUACAAGACGUUGGACACACACACACACACACACACACACACACACACACUGAGGUUCCUUUUGCCCCCUCACUUUUGAGCCAGUGACUACUGAAACCCUCUCCAUUGUUGCACCACCAGCAAUGCCCCCAUCACUUCCUCUCAUUUACUUCCACAGGCUGGUUCAUCCUCAAAGCCCUCCUUACGUAGAUCUGUGGGAUCAGUGAGGCUCAGAGAGGUAAAGUGGCCAGCCCAAGGUCGCCCAGACAGCAAAAGGCAGGGCCAGCGCUGAUUUCAAGUCCAAUGGCCUAUGGCAAUUUCUUAGCCAAAAGCAAAAUCUACAAAAAUAAAAAGUCAGGCACAGUGGUGAGUGCCUACAGUCCCAGCUACUGAGGAGGCCGACGGGGGAGGACCACUUGAGCUUGGGAGUUCCUGGCUGCAGAGAGCUAUGAUUGUGCCUGUGAAUAGCCAAUGCACUCCAGCCUGAGCAAGAUAGGGAGACCCUGUCUCUAAAAAAUACCUAAAUAAUUUUAAAAGUCAGCCUCUCUGACUGCCUAUAGAGAAUGCUAACUAACUGAAUGACAGAAGACCUAAUGUAAUCCAGGUGCAAAAUCAGAACUUUCCGGCCGGGCGCGGUGGCUCACACCUGUAAUCCCAACACUUUGGGAGGCCCAGGCGGGUGGAUCACGAGGUCAGGAGUUCAAGACCGGCCUGCCCAACAUGGCAAAACCCCGUCUCUACUAAAAAUACAAAAAAUUAGCUGGGCAUGGUGGUGGCCACCUAUAAUCUCAGCUACUCAGGAGGCUGAGGCAGGAGAAUUGCUUGGACCCGGGAGGCAGAGGUUGCAGUGAGCUGAGAUCGCGCCACUGCACUCCAGCGUGGGGGACAAAAGCGAAACUCUGUCUCAAAAAAAAAAAAAUUAGAACUUUCCCCGUACUCUUGCUAGGGCUUUUCAUGGAGAUGUAGAAAUGGUAGUAAGUGCCAAGGCCCCAGAACCCUCAUGUUUGGGUCCGACUCCCACAUUGCCAGAGACUAGGCAGCUCACACAGGUGUCCCAAGCUGUCUUUCUCACAGGCCGCAUUGAAGGCAUUUAUGAAAUGAGACCCCCUCUUCCUCAUCCGUAGUGACAGGGCUGGCCUGACCGUGGAGAAAUCAGAUUUGAUCAUGAUAGCUUCCACUCCGUGACUGGUCACGAUCUGCCAGGCGCUGUGCUAAACACUUUCAUAGGCCUUGUCCCCCUCCAUCCUGAUAACACCCCAGUGAAGCAGGCCCUGCUCUUCACUCCACUCCACAAAGCCAAGGCUGAGAGAGGUUAACAGACUUACCUAAGGUCACACAGCUAAGAAGUCGUGAAGCUGGGAUCGAAUCAAGUCUGUGUUUAUGGGUUUAACUAUCAUGUUGUGGCCCCAACCCCAUUUGACCUAGCCUGGCUGGUGGGCCUUCUUGCAGUAGCUUCCCCUGGAGAAGAGGAAAAGCAAACCUUCAUUGAGACCCAAGCGGUCUCUCCUGUGCUCUGUGACAAUAAUAAAGUUCCAGCCCUUGG